rnacentral:rRNA from 1 species
AAUCAUUUACGGAGGAGCACUGGAGGGCAAGUCUGGUGCCAGCAGCCGCGGUAACUCCAGCUCCAGAAGCGUAUAUUAAAGUUGUUGCAGUUAAAAAGCUCGUAGUUGGAUCUGGGUCGCAUGGCUACAUGCUGUUGCUCGUAAUCCUGGUCCGGUUCACACUGGGCUGGUUUAUGAGUCGGCGUCGUGGUUGUGCAGCCUUUCUGCCGUGUCUGUUUCGACAGGUGUUGGCAUGAUUGGUGGGUUCGUCCUGCUGAUCUGUCGGCAUGCUUCCAGGUGCCCUUAACCGGGUGUCGGGGGCGGACGGCACGUUUACUUUGAACAAAUUUGAGUGCUCAAAGCAGGCCAAUGUGCCUGAAAAUUCUUGCAUGGAAUAAUGGAAUAGGACUUCGGUUCUAUUUUGUUGGUUUUCGGAUCCGAAGUAAUGGUUAAAAGGGACAGACGGGGGCAUUUGUAUGGCGGUGUUAGAGGUGAAAUUCUUGGAUCGCCGCCAGACAAACUACAGCGAAAGAUGG